rnacentral:rRNA from 1 species
UGAUCCUGGCUCAGAUUGAACGCUGGCGGCAGGCGUAACACAUGCAAGUCGAACGGUAACAGGAUAGCUUGCUAUCGCUGACGAGUGGCGGACGGGUGAGUAAUACUUAGGGAUCUGCCUCUGUGUGGGGGAUAACUAUUGGAAACGAUAGCUAAUACCGCAUAAUGUCUACGGACCAAAGCGGGCUUCGGCUCGUGCGCAGAGAGGAACCUAAGCGAGAUUAGCUAGUUGGUGAGGUAAAGGCUCACCAAGGCGACGAUCUCUAGCUGUUCUGAGAGGAAGAUCAGCCACACUGGAACUGAGACACGGUCCAGACUCCUACGGGAGGCAGCAGUGGGGAAUAUUGCACAAUGGGGGAAACCCUGAUGCAGCCAUGCCGCGUGUGUGAAGAAGGCCUUCGGGUUGUAAAGCACUUUCAGUUGUGAGGAAAGUUUAGUAGUUAAUACCUGCUAGAUGUGACGUUAGCAACAGAAGAAGCACCGGCUAACUCCGUGCCAGCAGCCGCGGUAAUACGGAGGGUGCGAGCGUUAAUCGGAAUUACUGGGCGUAAAGCGCACGCAGGCGGUCUGUUAAGCUAGAUGUGAAAGCCCCGCGCUCAACGUGGGAGGGUCAUUUAGAACUGGCAGACUAGAGUCUUGGAGAGGGGAGUGGAAUUCCAGGUGUAGCGGUGAAAUGCGUAGAGAUCUGGAGGAACAUCAAUGGCGAAGGCAACUCCCUGGCCAAAGACUGACGCUCAUGUGCGAAAGUGUGGGUAGCGAACAGGAUUAGAUACCCUGGUAGU